GAUUGCAGAGGAGAGGAAUCUAUAUAUAUAAAAGGAUAGCAGGCAGGGGUCUGCAAAAAGACGGGUCACGAGGGAGGAAAGAACCCCUUCAGGAGAAAGAGGAUGCCGUUUUGUGAAUUAAAUGAGGAAACAAGAUAAACAAAAUCUGUUAACUUAGCUGUCCCACUGUCGAAUUGGCAGGAGCAGCAAGAGCUGAAGCCAACACGAGCAAAAUUAGCAAACCUGAAGUGAAAUGAAGAAUGGCAAAGUGAAAUGAGCAUGCUCUUUGACAAGAUGACAGCUAAUUACCCUGUCUCAGCAGUAACUGAAGCAGGCAGAACCUAAGAACAACUACAGAAAAGGAUGAAAUGCAGCUUAAAAACAGCUCUUUUGGGGUGCGGAUGAGGGGAAAACAUACAGCUUUUAAAGACAGUUAGUAAUCGGCCUGAGCAGCAAAGAUGGCCAAAUGGUGGGAACACAGAUGUACCCUUGUCUCCUUUGAACCCUACAUGAUCAUUUCUGGGCACAUGCUUGUGUUGUUCACAUGGGUGCCUCUGCAGCAUGGAAUUGCACCAUCCUGAAAUGGCUUCCACGCAUCCGGGCCUGCAUAUGAAGUGUGCCUUGUGUUUAUAACAAGCUAAAUGCUGAGCCAUACAUGCAAAACCCCCACAAUGCUACAUGUAUCGUGUGACCCAAACUGAGCUGUCAUAAGCAGUAAAUAAUAAGAGAAUGC